AGAGUUUGAUCAUGGCUCAGGACGAACGCUGGCGGCGUGCUUAACACAUGCAAGUCGAACGGAAAGGCCCCUUCGGGGGUACUCGAGUGGCGAACGGGUGAGUAACACGUGGGUGAUCUGCCCUGCACUUUGGGAUAAGCCUGGGAAACUGGGUCUAAUACCGAAUAGGACCGCAUGCUUCAUGGUGUGUGGUGGAAAGCUUUUGCGGUGUGGGAUGGGCCCGCGGCCUAUCAGCUUGUUGGUGGGGUAAUGGCCUACCAAGGCGACGACGGGUAGCCGGCCUGAGAGGGUGUCCGGCCACACUGGGACUGAGAUACGGCCCAGACUCCUACGGGAGGCAGCAGUGGGGAAUAUUGCACAAUGGGCGCAAGCCUGAUGCAGCGACGCCGCGUGGGGGAUGACGGCCUUCGGGUUGUAAACCUCUUUCAGUAUCGGCGAAGCUCCAGGAUUUUUCUUGGGGUGACGGUAGGUACAGAAGAAGCACCGGCCAACUACGUGCCAGCAGCCGCGGUAAUACGUAGGGUGCGGGCGUUGUCCGGAAUUACUGGGCGUAAAGAGCUCGUAGGUGGUUUGUCACGUUGUCUGUGAAAACUCACAGCUUAACUGUGGGCGUGCGGGCGAUACGGGCAGACUGGAGUACUGUAGGGGAGACUGGAAUUCCUGGUGUAGCGGUGGAAUGCGCAGAUAUCAGGAGGAACACCGGUGGCGAAGGCGGGUCUCCGGGCAGUAACUGACGCUGAGGAGCGAAAGCGUGGGGAGCGAACAGGAUUAGAUACCCUGGUAGUCCAA
rnacentral:rRNA from 1 species